rnacentral:rRNA from 1 species
GAUUGGGUUAUGUGUAUGCUUGAAGUUUAUUGGAAGAUAGAAUUGUUCGGUUAAGUUUUGUUUGCUGGAAAAGUUAAGUGAAAAAUCAUUUUGUUUUAUUGUGAAAGUAAUUUGUAAAGAAAUUUGGGGUUGGACUAGAGUGGAAAAGUACUGUAAAGGAAAUUAUUAUUAUUAAGUGAAAGAAGAUUUGAGUUUUUGUACCUUUUGUAUCAGGGAUUUUUGAUUUAGUUUGUGUAUUUAUGGAUUUCCCGAAAUAAAGUGAUCUAGUUUACUAAGGGUGUUCAUGUUAUAAAAUGAAACUGAAUAGGUAAAUUAGAAGUGAUAUGUUAGUCGCACUUUAUAUAUCUGGUUUUUUUCGAAAUAAAUUGAAUUUAGUGCUUAGGAUAAUUUGUUAUAAGUUGAAAUAUUCAGGGGGAAGAGCUUCUGAAUAAUUAUGGUUUUGUAAAUUGAAGUUUGUAGAAUAUUUGUAUUUAGGCUUAGAAUCAGCUAUAAUGUUAUUUCGUUUUAGAGAAUAUAAGCUAGAGAUUUGUGUUUUUUGUGGAUAUAUUACAUAAAGUAGAAAAUUAAUUUUAUUAAUUUGUUUUAAGGUUUGAUAAUGAUUGUAUUAGUAAAGUAGUUUUUGUAAAAUAGGUUUUUUGGAAUGUUUUUGUAGGUAUCUAAUCUAUUUUUGGCAUAUUAAAGGAAUUCGACAAAUUUUGCGCUCACCUGUUUAUCAAAAACAUGUCUAUUUGAACAUAAUAAAUAGUCUGGCCUGCCCACUGAUGUUUAAAGGGCCGCGGUAUUUGGACCGUGCUAAGGUAGCAUAAUCAAUAGUCUUUUAAUUGGGGUCUAGAAUGAAUGGUCGGAUGAGGUGCAAGUUUUCUGCUAGUGUGUUAUUGAAUUUUACUUUUAAGUGAAAAGGCUUAAAUAAUUUAGUGGGACGAUAAGACCCUGUGAAGCUUUAUUUUAGUUGUAUCUUGAUACUUAAUAUGUUGGUGAAUUGAGGUUAGGUUUGGCUGGAAUUGUGUUGGGGCGACAAGAAUAUAUAAUAAAACUGUUUGUGUAUUGAAAAAUAAUUAAUUUUUAGAGAAUUGAUCCUGAUGUUGUGGAUUAGAAGAUUAAAGUUACUCCAGGGAUAACAGCGUAAUUUUCUUUGAGAGUUCAUAUCGACAAGAAUAGUUGCGACCUCGAUGUUGAAUUAAGAUUUCAUUAAAGUGCAGGAGCUUUAAUUGUAGGUCUGUUCGACCUUUAAAAUCUUACAUGAUUUGAGUUCAGACCGGCGUGAGCCAGGUUAGUUUCUAUCUUUUAUUUUGUUUGUUAAAUCAUUCUAGUACGAAAGGAGAGAGUGGUUGGGAUAGUCUUGAGAAUUAGAUUGACUUUAAAUUACUU